AAUUCCCUCGUCUCUCAAACUCUCUCUAAAGACCACUCGAAACCCUAGCCUUCUCCGCCGGUUUCCACCUUGUUUCACCGGAAUCCAUGGCGUCCCAAGCCCUGGGUAGCCUAUACUCACCCUCAUGUGCCCUCAUACCCCUUUUACUUGAAGAUUCAAGGUUCGAGCUUGAACGUAUUCGCUCAGAUCUCCGCCGAUUCGAGUGUUACGGCCAUCUCCGGCUCAACUCCGGCGUAUCCUAGCCCUAUGAGUCUAUCUCUGACUCGUUCGACUCGGACCAGCCCUUUUCCAGGCCUUUCUCGCUUCUAGGGUUCUUCUGAAACCCUAGCCUUUUGAGGUUUUCCUAUUUUCUCUAGAUCCGUUCUAGAUCCGUGUUAAUUUUAAGGUUUUCAAACGAUUCCUCUAAAUGUCUUCUAAAACUUUGCUUUCAAAACUGUUCAUCUUCUUCGACUUAGGGUUUUCUCUAAUUUUACUUGUCCUACUGAUAUUCCUAUGUGUUUUUACUGUAUUUGCUCUACUGUGUUUUCAUCUACCAUGCUUUCUUCUACCAUUGCUUUAUGAAUUCUUUUACAGUAUUUUGUUCCCUUAUUAUGUUUUCCGAAAAUGCUUAAGGUUUUAGUUCCUUUGGGUAUUUUGAACUUACUUCGUUAUUAAUUUGCCUGAUUUGUCUGCUUUCGUCUUUACACUUGAUCAAUGGCGGAAACCCUAGAAUUUGGGGGUUUUCAGACCACUUGUGUGUGACUUGUUUGCUUCCCAUGUCUGAACUAAUUUGAUUUCAAAACCCUAAUUUCCGAACUCAUCUUUGUUUCUCUAUGUGAUUCUGACUCUUGCUAAGCUUGGCAAGACCUUUUACAUGAUUUUUUUCAUGCCAUCUGAUGAUCCCCCUUACCUAAUAAUUCCAUACUCACUGAUUUGGUUGCAUGACACUUUUCUCUGUUCUGAAUCUAGCCUCGCAUGUUCAAAACAUAUGCACUCUUUAUAUGUAGAUUUUUCUUCUCAGAAUAACCUUUGAUUUGGGGAUUGAUUUCAGUCUGCCAUUGUGUGAACUUGAUUGAUUCCUUCCUUGUCUAAAUUGAACCUUCAUAUUCCAUUAUUUUCUGACUUGGUUCAUUAUUGAUUUCGAAUAUUCGAUUCCCUGAUUUACUAUGUAUUAGUUGAUUUACUUCUUGCCUUAUUUACUUAAACCGUGUGUUUUCAAACUUUCCCUUAUGUAUUUACCCCUUAUUUGCAUGCUGAGCGUGAUAUGCUACUUGAUUCCCUUUCUUUAAAUAGCUUCUGCCCUUUUACCGUUCAAAUUUGAACUCCUUAAUUAAAGGAAUUCCCCUCUAUUGAUUGUUUCUGAUUGAUACUUGAUUAUUUUCUUUUCUUGCUUACCUGCCUGGCUUCAAGUAUAAAUACAUACUCUUCUCUUAACACAAACACAAACUUCUGAAUUAAAAUAAACUACUACUACUCUCUCUACUACUACUCUUUCUACUACUGCUCUCUCUCUACUACUAAGCACCCUGCUCAUCUUCUCUUUGUUGCUGAAACAUUCUUGAGUUCUCAGGUGCUUGCUAAAGGUUUUGAGUCUGCUCCUGCUGACUUUCUGGCUAAUUACUUGCUUCUGUUUGUUCUGCUAUUCUGAAAUUUGCAACUGGUAUGUCUUCCUAGUUAAAUAACAUCACCUACAUUAUGUAUUUACUUCCCUCCUUCUAUUGUGCAUUCUCCAUUACAUACUCAUCCUAGUCUGUCAUGCUUUCUUUCAUUAUGUUCUGCACCUUUAAGGCUGUUACGCUUUCUUGCUUGCCUCAUAUUUUUGUAAACGCUUUCUUAUGUGAUUCCCUAUCCCUUUGACCCCCUUUUUGUGUGUGAGUGCAAUUCUGUGUCAUGGUGGCAUUCUAUUAUUGCCAACCAUGGCUUAGAACCAGGUUCUCUUGAGCCUCUAUUCAAAUCAAUUCCCAUUCCUUUCUCCCCCUUUAUGUGAUGAGCCAUGACUCAAGUCUGGUGGUGUCCUAAUCACCAUCCAAACCCAAGUCUGACUCUCUAAGAGUCUGCUCUUAUUUGUUUGAAUCUAAGCAAGGGGUCAGGGGUGUGCCAGUCUAUACCAUUGUUGGGUACGACCACUUGCUGUUGUGAUUCUCCCUCACUUUGCACUUACUCCUAGUUCUUAAGUUCUGCCCUCCUUGGGUAAGCCAUGCUUUGGGACCCUGGAGCUCCCUCUGAACUUGGAUGCCCGAGGGCUGGCACUUUCACACUGCACUAUUCUGUUACUAAAUGGUUAUUCAGAGUGUAAGCAUUGCCUGGAGCUCUUAAGGCUCCUUGGAAGUUUGAAACACUCUGAGUAAGAGAAGGCCUUGGAAUCUGGGAUCCGGAUUUGGUGAAACACAUGUAUUGGAUAUUGAGAUUGAAUUAGGCUGCUCGGAUCUAGCUGUAGUCUGUGGUGUAUUUUUGUUUACUUUCCUUCUUCUGGUUCUGUAAUAAUCUUGUAAAAAGAACUCGGGGAAAAUAUUAGUAAAGGGUGUGGGAGGGGUUUAUAUUUACUUGCAUAUGAUAAAGGGUAGAUACUAUGCCUAUAGGAUCAAUAUUGUUGUUUAAUCACUUAGAUAUCAUGUCUAUAGGUUAAACGUUUCAAUCACCUAGAGACCACGUCUAUAGGAUUUUGCAUUCCUUUCAUUCAAUGAUAUAGAAAUCAUGUCUAUAAGAUUUAAUAUCGCAAAAUCAGUAGAAAUCCUGCCUAUAGGACCUACUCGUCAAAUAACCCGUUGCAUAUAGAAAUCAUGCCUAUAGGAAAUGCAUAAACGUUAGGCAAACUGUAGGGUAAGUUUUUUUAACAGUUUAAUAAUAAUAAAAGCCAAGGUAUAGAUAUCCUACCUAUAGGGUUCAAACUCGCCUAAUCUGUACAAGCAAUAAUCUAGAAAUUGGCUUCAACGUUUUCAACAAACUCGUACCAAUCUGUUUAUUGCGAAACUCUUACAAGUCCGCAAAGUCCUUAAAUUUUCUAAACUUGUAUCUUUUUUUUUGCAGAAAUGGUUUUCAACCUUCUGCCUGAAUUCUCAUUUCAUGAAGCUACUAUUUCGAAACAGUAUUUAACGCACUCUUACUUUUAAGGUCUCUUCACUUUCGAAACCCUUCUUAAUAACUCUACUGUAUUUUUUACUUCUGAUUUUAAAGCCAUCUCUGAACUUCUGCAAUUUUCAAUCUGCUGUUUUAAACUCUUCUGCAUUAGGUUCUUGAUCGGUAACCUGUUUAAAAAUACCUCAAUUUCUGACAAUUGGAUCCGAGUUGCCUAAUGCAGACCUUUUAUCUAAUUCUAUGUGUUAAACUGAUUUGUCUGCCGCUUUAUUUUAAAAACUAAACCAGUAUAUGCAAGAUAUGCUAAACUAAUUGCUAUGUGAUUUAUGGGGUUUGUAUGAGCCUUUUGAGUAUUUGUUUCCCAUUUAUAUGCUAUUUGUUUUGAUUGACGCCUAGUAUUUGUCCUUUUAAAACCCCAUAUAUGCCUCUACCCCCUUUUUUUCUCUUUAGGAUUAGAAGUCCUAAUACCCCGGGACUAAUAGGUUGGGGCGGGUACUAGCAUGCAAUAAGCAAAACGAGACUAAUCACGUUUAAAUACCUUAAUGGGGUGGGAAGGGUAGAAUAUGGAGAUGAUGACGGUGCGCUAAUAUCUCGUGUGAGAAUGAUCGCUGGGUAUUGCACCAAAGUGAUCCAUAUUGUAUUUAAACCUAGGACCCCUCUUCUCCUUCUUUAGUUAUUGAUGUUUUCUUAAAUUAAUGUUUUCUUCAACUAAGCUUUCUCUUUUUCAAAAUCACUUGUGUCUUUCUUCUUUCAAAAUUUUUUCAACUUGUUUAUAUUUUCUAAUGUGCAAACUUUGCUUGUUUAUUCCUACUCUUCUUAAAGUCACAACUAAGCACGACCGGGAACCACACUAGUGGAUCUUGAGGGGUGCCUAACACCUUCCCCUUGAGAUAAUCUCAAGCCCUUACCCGAACUCUGGUUUAUCUUUCAAAAAUCUUCUCUUCUUUAAAAGUGUCCUAAUGCACUAUAAUCAUUAGGUAGUGACUCUUCAAAUUCUAUAACCCGAUUCAUCGAAAGGGGAAUAAGAGUUGUUUUGUCCAUAAUAUCGUAAACCCGAUUUCGCCUUCCUUCAGGGAGGGAAAAAGGGGGCGUCGACAGCAUGGAGACUCUGCUGGAGAUUUCUUUAAGGCUUUUACCAUUACGUGCUUCUAUGACUUUAUUGCUUCCUUUAUUGCCUUUAUUUCCUGCUUUUAAUCAUUUCUUCAUGAAUACUAACUUGGCUCUUCGUGUUUUCUUUUCCUUUUACUGCUUUACCGUUAUCUCAAUUCCGUUUUUAUUUCCAAGCAUUUAUUAUAAUCUUUACUUUAUGAACGUGAAAAUACAUGCAAUUUGUUUCAUUAUUGUAACUGCAUUCCUCAACAUCAUAUUCUACUCGUGCAAAAACAAAUCCUAUAGAAACGCUUAUAAUGAGUGGUUGCGCCCUUCUGAUAUCAUAACCCCUAAAUGUGGCAAAGGCAUAUUUACGGUAAAACCAGUCGAUCAACGGUGUAGUCGACGGUUCCGCGCCUUUCCCUCUUGAGUUGUCCGCUCAAGGGUACCUUGUCUAGCACUUCAAAAGUAGAAACCUUACUCCAUUAAACUGUUCAUGCAUCAUGGUCAAACUUAGCCGAGUCAGUUAUGUUGUUCGUGUAAUGACUCAUUAAGAUAGCCUAAACCGAAGUCCAUCGGGUUUCCUCGAAACCCAAACGGACACCCCCACGUUAUGUGUAUUUAUUUGAAGAACUAAAUGCCCUUUUUGCUAAUUAUUGAUUUAAAUAGUCGAGUCUGGUAGGGGUUAAGGGCCUGACAUUUUGUUUUGCAGAAAAUGAGGCACGAAGUCCCCAGAUUCGGUAUGGUAUCCAACAUCCACCCAAGGUUGCUAAGCUGGUGGGAAGAUCUUCAUGGCAGUGAUCAAACCCUCGUCCGCAAGUACUUAGGGAAUUUGCCCUCACUUCUGGAAAUCCAACCCAACAACAAGAUCAUUGAGGCUGCCACUUUGUUUUGGGAUAGUGAUCGAUCAGUGUUCCAUUUCGGAGACUUGGAAAUGACCCCUCUUCUAGAAGAGAUAAGGGGCCUAGCUGGUAUCCCUUGGGAGGCUCCGGGUUUGCUUAUGCCGGAGAAUCGCAAAAGUAGAGGCUUUCUUAAGAUGAUGGGACUCAAGAAAAAUCCUGACCUUUCUUGCUUGAAGGACUCUUACAUACCAUUCGACUUCUUAUACGAGAGAUAUGGCCACAACAAGUCCUAUCGCACCUACAUGGACGAAUUCGCCCUCACCUCUUUGGGACAUAUACAUAGAAGGGUAUUUGUAUUCAUGUUUUGCUUCUUGGGCAUGAUAAUUUCCCUAUGAAGAAGGCUAGGAUCUAUACUAGACUAGCCAUGGUGACCAAGACCUUAAUGGAGGGAAUCGACGGGCGGUCUUUCAACAUAGUACCUAUGAUCAUCGCAGAAAUCUAUCGAUCCUUGGGAAAGUGUCAGCAAGGGGCUUCACAUUUCGAGGGUUGUAAUCUGCUACUUCAACUAUGGCUCAUAGAACACCUCCAGAAAGGCGUCUACAGAAAAGAAAUCAUACGCAGGGAUUGGGAUGACCAUAUCGCUUUUCAUCACCCAAAGCGAAUAGACUUCAUGCCCAACAUGUUCGCUCAGCCAGAGGACGCUAGUGGAUGGGUAGAGUUGUUCGAGAAUCUAAAAGAAGAGCAAAUUCAGUGGAUGUUCGAGUGGUUCCCAACAGGGGAGUUCAUUAUCCGCUCUUGAGACGCACCAUUACUCAUACUCAUUGGCUUGAGGGGAACUCAUCCUUACGUCCCCCUCCGAGUCAUGAGGCAAGCCGGAAGGAAACAAAUUAUACCCAGGAUAGAGAAAAUGAGUCAUUUCAGGGCUGACUUUGAAGAUGAUGAUAGCCCGCACAGGUGUCACGCUCAGCAUAUAUGGCACUGCAAGCUCAUUUUAGGGAAGGAGUCUAUUGAACCAGACAGGUAUCGUGCCGGGUGUGUGCCGCACUACACAGGUUGGUUGGAAGAUGAUCACAUUGGCUUGGGUCACCCAGGGUUUGUCCAUGGUCAUAGGCUUAUUGAUGAAAAGACUGCAUCAAAGGUUAAAUACAAUCAACUGCGCAAAAGGAUACGGGAAUGCGAGAACGAGCAUCGGGAAAUACAAGAAGCCCACGAGAAGAUGAUCAACGAGUGGAAGGAUAUGGAUGUCAACGCCAACAACCGACUGGGGUAUCUAGAACGAGGCUUAGUGGAAUUGGAAGGUAAAUUUCUGAAGAGAUCGACGAUUGUCAGAAUACUGAGGGUAAUGAAGGUGGGCACCUGGCCCGAGCUUACUUGUUGCUGAGACUGCGCGAGUUGGUGCAGCUGUACGAGGGAGGCGAGAAUACCGAAUCUGGGGAAGGUCCUUCUGGGACCAAGUAGUUAGGAUUUUUUACUCUUCUGCUUUGUAAUAAGGCCACUGGCCAUUAGUGACAUCUUUUAUUAUUCAGUUGUUUUUUUUGACUCGUCUUAUUUUUUUAUCAAUAAAAUGAAGCAUUUAGCAUUAUAAGUUCUCCAAAUUAAUUUUUCGCUAGGCUUACCUCGGGCACAACGAGGCACCCAGAUUAGGAAGCGAUUUAUAUUCUUGCACAAUGUGUUUAAAUAUUUCAAUAUUAUUUAUCAGAAUCCGCACUAACAUUUUACCUUUUUGUUUUUCUUUUAUUUUAUUCCCCUCCCCAAAGGUUAGUUCAUGCAUUCUGGCACCAUUAGCAUACUCAACAAGAUCCAACGGUCCUCCACCUCCUCCUCCUCCAGGUCCUCCCAGAAACAGGAACAAGGGUAGAAUGGAAGAUACCGGUGCUAAAAAGGAAAUCAGAGAGACUUCAAUCACCAAGGAAACUACUGCUCAUCUUGAGCAAACUUUGCUAAGGUUCCGGGAAGAGUUGGAACAAGUCCGGAACUUGACAAGUCUGUCAAUCACUCUUGCUGCCGUUGAUGCCAACAAAUCACCGCCACCACCACCAGCCCAACCUGCUCAUACCCGAGCCCGCAACGUAUGCAACAGUACUCCCCCGCUCAUCCCUGAGCCCCAGAACAUCACAAAAGACCCUGACACUCCAAUCUUUGUGGACACUAUGCCACAUUACAGUCAGCCAAUCGCUAGUGCAAUCGAGUCAGAUGACAAUAGCUCCCUCAUUCAGAAUUUGGCCGUUGAAGUCAAGAAGUUGACUAGCCGGGUCCAAGGUUUCGAAGGUAACAAAGGUGUUGAAAGGUUGAAUUAUGAAGAUCUCUAUGUCCAGCCAGAUGUUGAGUUCCCGGAGGGGUACAAACCUCCCAAGUUCAAACUAUUUGAUGGAACAGGCGACCCCAGGAUCCACCUGAGAAUGUAUUGUGACAAGUUGGUAGGAGUCGGAAGGGACGAGAAGAUCCGCAUGAAGCUGUUCAUGAGGAGUUUGAAGGGUGAUGCUUUAUCCUGGUAUAUUAGCCAAGAUGCGAAGAAAUGGACUAGUUGGGUGAGCAUGGCAUCUGACUUUAUAGAUCGGUUUAGGUUCAACAAUGAGAACGCACCCGAUGUGUUCUAUAUCCAGAAUCUGAAGAAGAAACCCGCAGAGACCUUUCACGAGUAUGCUACGUGUUGGAGGUCAGAAGCUGCUAAGGUCAGACCGGCCUUGGAGGAAGAACAAAUGAACAGGUUUUUCGUCCGUGCUCAGGAUCCGCAGUAUUACGAGAGGCUGAUUCUAAUAGAGGGCCAAAAGUUCUCCGACAUCAUCAAGUUGGGAGAAAGAAUCGAAGAAGGCAUCAAAAGUGGUAUGGUCACUAACCUCGAGGCAGUGCAAGCUACCAACAAGGCUUUACAGUCUGGUGGCUCGUCAAAGAAAAAGGAUGUGAAUUCUGUAAUGGCUGCGCAAAGGAGCAACUCCCCUAUGAAGUACCAAACCUAUCCCUCAGCUCCACUCACAUAUCAACCUACCCUAAAUUACCAAGCACCAUCACCCACUUGCCAAAUGCCACCACCUGCUUACCAAUCACCUCCACCACCUACGUAUCAACCCACUUUACAUAGAUAUUCCCAACCCACACCCGUAUAGCAAGCAUGUAACUCCUAACCUUCUCACUACCCAUCACCUCCUACCUGCCAAAACUUCCCUCUACCUAGACCAAACUUCGACCGCAAACCUCCCAAACAAUAUACCGCCAUUGCUGAACCAAUUGACCAACUAUAUGAAAGACUCAAAGCAGUCGGUUAUGUUACCCCUAUCCCUUCCAUAACUCCAAAAAAUACCUCAUAGUGGAUCAACCCAAACAAGACUUGCACAUACCAUUCCGGGAUGAAAGCCAUACCAUCGACGAGUGUCGCUCGUUGAAAGACAAGAUUCAGAAUCUGAUUGACAACAAGAUUAUUAUAGCAAAGGAGCCCACUCCUAAUGUCCUCAACAACCCUCUGCCUGACCAUAAGGGUGGAGGCAUCCACAUGAUCGAGAUCGAAGAUGAUUGGAACCCCAAGGGGUCAAUCGGUUUGAUAGUUGAAGGAGACGAGCCUAAGAAGCCAACAGUUACUCUCAAUCCCAUUGUUGUCCAGAUUCAGCCCUCUGAGAGCGAUGUGGUAAAUGUGUCCGUACCACUCGAGUUUGAAGCACCUCUUGCAAAGGUGCCAAAACCAAUUGAGGUUGAGUUCGGGGUUCCAAAGGCGCCUACACCAUUUGAAGUUACUGUGUUACCUCCCAAGGCACCAACUCCAGUCUCCAUGACAGAUGUAACCCCGUUCAAGACAAAUGCUAUACCUUGGGAUUACACCGCUGAGGCUAGAAGGAAGGGAAAUACAUAUACUGGGGAAGCAAUUGCCGCACAGGGCAUAACCAGGAUAGGCAGGGUAUACACCCCGGAACACUUGGCUAAGUCCAGCAAGCAGGCCUCCGGGUGGGCUAUUGAAACUGGACCCGAUGACCUUUGGAGGAAGGUACAGGCCAAAGAGUACUCGGUCGUCGAGCAACUGAACAAAACGCCAGCACAAAUUUCUAUUCUGGCUCUUCUACAAAGCUCUGAGGCACAUAAAAAUGCCUUAAUGAAAAUACUGAGUGAAGCUUAUGUUCCCAACUACAUAACAGGAGGCGAAAUAGCAAAUAUGGUGCGGCAGAUACUGGAAAGCCAUAAGAUCACCUUCCAUGAAGACGAAUUAGCACCGGAAGGGAUUGGUCACAACAAAUCGUUGCACAUCACCGCGCAAUGCGAGGAUCACUUUAUCACCAGGAUUCUAGUCGACGGAGGAUCCAGCCUCAACAUUUGUCCAUUGGUAACUCUCAGGACAUUGGGUAAGGGAUUGCACGAGAUCAAAGACGGGGCUAUCAGUGUCAAAGAUUUUGAUGGAUCUCAGAGGUCCACCAUUGGAGAAAUUAUCUUAUGCCUACAAAUGGGACCCACCUGGUUUGAUGUCGAGUUCCAAGUCAUUGACGUACCAGCAUCCUACAAUUUGUUUCUAGGACGACCCUGGAUCCAUGCCGCUGGGGCUGUGGCGUCAACUUUGCAUCGGGAUAUAAAAUUUGAAUGGAAUCAUCAGGAAGUAAUCAUCCAUGGCGACGGUAGCAACCCUAAAUAUAGUCGCCAGGCCAUCCCAAUGAUCGGGGGUAGAAGGAAAAUCGGUGGAGAAACAUACCAUCACAUCGAGCGGGUCAACACCAUAGACAAAGACAAAUGGUGGGAUAACAAAAUUGAGAGCAUUCUGAAUUGGAGUGGAUACGAGCCCGAAAAGUGGCUUGGCAAGAAUCUCUAGGGUAUCACCAAGCCUAUCCAGUUGAAGAAGCAUGGAACUACUUUUGGCCUGGGUUAUGAAUACACUUGGGAGGAGUUCAAUGACUGGUCGCCACCAUGGCGCGGUCCUUACUCCCCGCUGUAGCACCAUCUACCUCAGUUAGAGCAGACUUUUCAGCCAGCUGAUGUCAUAUAUGGAUUAGAGGAAGAUGAGACACUGGCAGCAAUGAAGAACCUGUUUCUGGAGGAUAAUAUGGAUUACUGUGUUAUCUUCGAGUAGGAAAGGGAGGAGGGCCUUUCCAUUCAAGCUGUGAACCGAGGAGAACACCUCACCAAUUGGUCAAUUAGGACUACCAGUGCCCGGAGAGCCUCGGGGUAGCAAGGCUAAAUGACGCAUACGCAUCGCACUUUACUUUUAGUUGAUUUUACUUCUCCGCAUUGUCUUUACUUUUGAAAAGAGCUCCGAUGUUUUAAACGAUUAUGAAAAGCAUUUUCCAAGUUUAUCUUUAUAUUUCUCUCUCAUUUAUUUUCUCUACCAUUUACUUUAUUUUACACAGCAUCACUAUUACAUAUCUUGAUGAUGAACCAAUGACUGUGACUUGUAACGAGACAGUGCGACAAACGGACAUAGAUUCAGAAGAGGACGAAAUACCAGAAGAGGUUGUCAGGGAGGUCAAGAAUUUUGAGAACAGGCCUAAGUCUAACUUAGACAAAACUGAGGUCAUUAAUUUGGGGGAUGCAGAAAAUGUCAAGGAAACACGUAUCAGCGUACACUUGUCACCAUCAAAAAAGGAAGAAUACACAGAGUUUUUGAAAGAAUAUGAAGAUAUAUUCGCUUGGUCGUAUGAUGAUAUGACCGGUCUCAGCACAUCCAUCGUGGCUCACAAGCUGCCGACAGAUCCGGCAUGCCCACCGGUCAAACAGAAACUCAAAAAAUUCAAACCAGACAUGAGUUUGAAAAUCAAAGAAGAAGUCACCAAGCAAGUCAAAGCCAGGGUUCUCAGAGUAGUAGAGUAUCCAACAUGGUUAGCCAACGUUGUGACGGUACCAAAAAAGAAUGGGAAGGUUAGAGUCUGUGUCGACUACCGGGAUCUCAACCGGGCCAGUCCUAAGGAUGAUUUCCCUUUACCAAAUAUACACAUACUGAUUGAUAACUACGCCAAACAUGAGCUCCAGUCGUUCGUCGAUUGUUUUGCUGGAUACCACCAGAUAUGGAUGGAUGAAGAAGAUGCAGAGAAAACGACAUUCAUCACGCUGUGGGGAAUGUACUAUUACAGAAUGAUGCCAUUCGGUUUAAAGAAUGCUGGUGCUACCUACAUGAGAGCCAUGAACACAAUCUUUCAUGAUAUGAUACAUAAAGAGAUCGAGGUGUAUGUGGACGACGUCAUCAUUAAAUCCAGGAAAGCUGCAGAUCACAUGGGAGAUUUGAGAAAAUUCUUCAAUAGACUGAGGAGAUACAACUUGAAACUGAAUCUCGCCAAGUGUGCAUUCGGGGUCCCAUCCGGAAAGUUAUUGGGUUUCAUUAUGAGCCGCCGGGGAAUAGAAUUGGACCCGUCAAAGGUCAAAGCCAUUCAAGAGUUGCCACCGCCAAAGAACAAGAAAGAUGUAAUGAGUUUUCUGGGAAGACUCAACUAUAUCAGCCGAUUCAUAGCUCAGUCCACUGUCAUUUGUGAACCCAUCUUCAAGAUGCUAAAAAAGGAUGCCGCCACUAAAUGGACUGAUGAUUUUCAAAAGGCCUUCGACAGAAUCAAGGAAUACUUGUCGACACCACUAGUCUUGGUUCCACCCGAGCCAGGGAAACCCCUAUUGCUUUAUCUUGCAGUGUUGGAUGGGGCAUUUGGUUGUGUUUUGGGACAACAUGACGAGACGGGAAGAAAGGAGCAAGCCAUCUACUACCUCAGCAAGAAAUUUGCCCCAUACGAGGCUCGAUAUUCUCUUUUAGAACGCACUUGUUGUGCUCUAACCUGGGUGGCUCAGAAAUUGAGGCACUAUUUCUGUGCUUACACCACUUAUCUCAUAUCCAAGAUGGAUCCAUUGAAGUAUAUCUUUCAGAAGCCCAUGCCUACUGGCAAGCUCGCCAAGUGGCAGAUACUGUAAAGUGAGUUUGACAUCGUUUAUGUUACCCAGAAGGCGGUCAAAGGACAAGCCUUGGAAGAUCACCUCACCGAGAAUCCUAUAGGAGGAGAAUACGAACCUCUAAAGACGUAUUUUCCUGAUGAGGAGAUAGACUUCAUUGGAGAAGACAUUGCAGAAUCCUACGACGGCUGAAGGAUGUUUUUCGACGGAGCCGCAAAUUUCAAAGGAGUUGGUAUAGGAGCGGUUUUGGUAUCAAAAAUCGGUCAGCAUUACCCAGUAUCUGCCAAGCUCAGAUUCCCGUGCACCAACAACAUGGCCGAGUACGAAGCCUGCAUCUUAGGGCUCAAGUUGGCAAUUGACAUGAACAUUAAGGAACUAUUAGUGAUCGGAGAUUCGGACGUACUCAUACAUCAGGUUUGAGAAGAAUGGGCAACCAAGAAUUCCAAAAUACUCCCCUAUAUGCAUCACGCACAGGAGUUGAGGAAAAGAUUCAGAAAGACGGAAUUCCAGCAUGUUCCUAGAAUACAGAAUGAGUUCGCCGAUGCCUUAGCCACUUUAUCAUCUAUGAUUCAGCAUCCCGAUACAAACUUUAUUGACCCCAUCCAGGUCAAGAUUCACGACCAACCAUCUUAUUGUGCUCACAUCGAGGAAGAGGCCGACGGGAAACCUUGGUUCCACGAUAUCAGAGAAUACCUGACAACAGAAGAGUACCCAAAGCUUGCCAAUGCUACUCAGGAAUGAACACUUCGGAAAUUGUCCAACAACUUCUUUCACAGCGGAGGAGUCCUGUAUAGGAGGACUCCCGAUAUGGGAUUUUUAAGAUAUGUCGAGGCAAGAGAAGCAACCAAACUAUUGGAGGAAGUGCACGCAGGGACCUGUGGACCGCAUAUGAAUGGUUUCGUUUUGGCAAAGAAGAUACUCCGAGCAGGGUAUUUUUGGAUGACUAUGGAAAUAGACUGCAUCCAGUACGUCCGAAAAUGCCACCGUUGUCAAAUACAUGCAGAUAUGAUAAAUGUACCUCCAAAUGAGCUUACUGCAACAAGCUCACCAUGACCGUUCGCCGCUUGGGGAAUGGAUGUCAUUGGAUUUGAACCAGCCGCAUAAAAUGGGCACAGGUUUAUCCUAGUGGCAAUUGAUUACUUUACCAAAUGGGUUGAAGCAGCAUUAUACAAGGCAGUCACCAAGAAAGUAGUAGCAGAUUUCGUCCGAGAUCGUAUGGUUUGUCGGUUCGGGGUUCCGGAAUCAAUCAUUACCGACAACGGUUCUAAUCUUAACAGCGGCCUGAUGAAGGCAAUGUGCAAAACAUUCAAGAUUAAACACAAGAACUCCACGGCUUGCAGACCUCAAAUGAAUGGAGUUGUAGAAGCAGCCAAUAAGAACAUCAAGAAGAUAUUAAGGAAGAUGAUCGAAAAGCACAAGCAGUGGCAUGAAAAGCUGUCGUUCACCUUACUGGGUUAUCGUACCAUGGUCCGCACAUCAACCGGGGCCACUCCUUACAUGCUGGUUUAUGGCAUGGAGGUGGUUAUCCCCGUCGAAGUAGAAAUUCCCUCCUUAAGGGUCAUACAAAAAGCAGAAUUAGAUGAUGCAGAAUGGGUCAAGAAUCGCUACGAGCAGUAAGCCCUCAUAGAUGGAAAAAGGAUGAAUGCUGUCUGUCACGGUCAAUUAUAUCAGAACAGAAUGGCCAGAGCCUUCAACAAGAGAGUCAAGCCAAGGAAGUUCACGCCAGGGCAGUUAGUAUUGAAGAAGAUAUUUCCGCAUCAAGAUGAAGCCAAGGGAAAAUUCGCUCCUAAUUGGCAGGGUCUGUAUAUGGUGCAUCAGGUUCUAACCGGAGGAGCCCUUAUUCUCGCAGAAAUGGACGAAGAAGUCCGACCGAAGCCUAUCAACGCAGACGCAGUAAAGCGAUACUACAUUUGAUCAUAUGCUUUGCUUUCAUGAUGUAAUUUGAACUACGCCUGACCUGAUUCCCGUUUAAGAGGGGAUACGUAGGCAGCCCUAUGGGUUCGGUCACAUUUUAAUAAGAAUCCCAUUUUCCCCCGCUAUUGGAACUGGGGCAGAAUUUUGAGGAGGACCCUUAAAAUUCCGAAGUCAGUUUAUCAGUUUUCGCAUCAGCACCAACCCAGUAAACUGGGGCAGAAUUUUGAGAAGGACCCUCAAAAUUCUGGAGCCGAUCCGCAUUCGAUCAUGCAGCACAGCCGUCAACAGCGCUAACCCAGUAAACUGGGGCAGAAUUUUGAGAAGGACCCUCAAAAUUCCGGAGCAAGCAAGGUUGCCGUGUCUUGAACCACGUUGCAGUUUUUGGUUCAUCCCAAAAUAAAAUUAUUCUUUUUACCUAUAUAUACAUGCAGUUGCAUUAUAUUCACUAAGUCAUGCACGAAUAUCAUUUGGAUAGCAUCGUUUAGCAACGCUACCCCAAUUAUAUGCAAACGCCAAGAGUUGGAGGAUACGAACUAACCUUCCCCCUAUAAAACUCACAAUUUUUCUUUGGAUGCAGGAAUUCAGGCAACGAAUCAAAGUAUAUUUGCUCUUCAGAAUUAAAAACCCUCCAGAGGGUCGCUAUCCGCACUCGACACUCCCCAACAGUCUUAAUAUCGCAAACCGCCCACCAGAAUUCAGGCCGCAAAAGCAAAAUGCACCCACUCUUCAGAGUCGAAACUCUCAAAGCAAUCACUCAUUCCACAAAGUCUACUACCUACACCCAACAUUCCCCAGCAGUCACGAUAUCGUAACCACCUAUCAGCUAAGAAAAUUACUACUAUUUUCCCAUUUGCAUUCCGGCACUGCAUAAGGCUACUUUCUGCCUUUCGAGACUAAGCUCUGUCUCCAUCUGCAUCUUGCAUAAGGCUACUCUCUGCCUUCCGAGGUUAAGCUCUACCUCCAUCCUGCAUAAGGCUACUUUCUGCCUUUCGAGACUAAGCUCUGUCUCCACCUGCAUUUUUUCGCACAGGGCUAUUCUCUGCCUUCCGAGGUUAAGCUCUACCUCCCUAUUGCAUAAGGCCACUUUUCGGCCUUCUGAGGUUAAGCUCUACCUCCAUCUUGCCUAAUGCUACUUAUCUGCCUUUCGAGACUAAGCUCUGUCUCCAUCCGCAUUGCAUAAGGCUAUCUUCUGCCUUCCGAGGUUAAGCUCUACCUCCAUAUUGCAUAAGACUAUAUAUCUGCCUUUCGAGACUGAGCUCUGUCUCCAUCAUACAUGGCUGAAAUAUCACCACUUUAUUUAAAUUCUUGCUUCGGCUGAAAUAUCGCUACCUGCAUUUUAAAUUCUCGCUCUGGCUGAAAGAUCACCACCCUUGCAUUCAUUUGGCUGAAAGAUUGCCACCUUCUCAUGGGCUAAAAAAUCGCCAACUUAUUCAAAGGCGUCAUAGUUCGGAGGCACCAUCUGCAUAGCCCGAGAACACAAUUUCAUGGCCUGUGAAUCUUUAUUUUUAUGCUCUUCAUGGCCCAGGACAUCAUAGUCUGAGGACGUCAUCCUUACCGUCCGAAGACAAACAUUCAUGGUCCAACGGGAAUUUGCAUCACGUUUAAAUUACGCAAUAUAUACGCACAUCGCCCAUUUGCAAGUACUCUGGCUGACUCGCGGCCGUCUCAGCAGGAGCGACCCCGCUCCAAUUCUCCGCAUCCUGUUCGAUCCCAAACCUCCUCUCAAAUCUGACCAUCACGUCCAUCUUUUCAAAUUUCCAUCGGCAUAUUCCGCCAGUGGUUCCUGAACUACAUAUGGCCUGAUUCCUGUAAAACCAGAGAUAUGUAGGCAGCUCAGAAACUAGAGCACGGUCAAAAUUCUUCCACGAUCGACGCUUUCGAUCAAAAUUGGUCAUCUUAUCUUUACCCGACAACUCUUUCAUCCUCCUCGGGUAAAAAGGGGCAGCUGUUGAUACCCAAUUUUUCCCUAUAUAUUUUAUACUCAAAAUACUUUCAAAAUAACAUAUUUAUGCAUAUAUAAGCAUGCCCAAAGGCUUUGGUAUUUUCCCCAAAUUUGUACAGAUUUUUAAAAACCAAUUUAUGGCCUAUUUUGCACUAUAAAAUCCAAUAAUUAUUCCCAAAACCUAUCAUUUUGCUGAAUAAUUUAUUUUAUUCUCACAUUUACAUCAAAAUAUAAUUUACAUGAUUUUUGUAUAAUUUUACAAGUCCAUUUGUUAUUUUUAAACUAAAAUUGCAUGAAAUUGCAAUUUUAGCCUAUUUCUAGAUUUAAUAGUAAGUUUAAUUUCAAAAUCAAUACUAAUAUUUUUAAAUUAAUACUUACAUAUUGUUUACUAACCCAGUGCCUUUAAUUUGAUUUUUAACAUCUUUUACUAUUUUUUAAAAUUCAAAAGAGAAAAAUGGCUAUUUCAAUUUUGGCCUCAAUUGCUUUCAAUUAUAGCCCAAUUUUGGACCCUUAAUUAACUCCAAUUUCAAACCCUUAAUUGACGACCCAAUUUUAAUUUCAACCCGCCCCAAACCCAUUUGAUCUAACCCGUCCGCUUCCCAUUUUUUUAAUCCUAUCCCUCGUUCCUUCUUUCCUUUUUAAUUCCACCCACACCCCUAACCCUAAUUCAUUAUUCACAAAUGGCUGCCUCCAAAUUCCCUCGUCUCUCAAACUCUCUCUAAAGACCACUCGAAACCCUAGCCUUCUCCACCAGUUUCCACCUUGUUUCACCGGAAUCCAUGGCGUCCCAAGCCCUGGGUAGCCUAUACUCACCCUUAUGUGCCCUCGUACCCCUGUUACUUGAAGAUUCAAGGUUCGAGCUUGAAGGUCUUCGCUCAGAUCUCUGCCGAUUCGAGUGUUACGGCCAUCUCCGGCUCAACUCCGGCAUAUCCAAGCCCUAUGAGUCUAUCUCUGACUCGUUCGACUCGGACCAACCCUUUUCCAGGCCUUUCUCGCUUCUAGGGUUCUUCUGAAACCCUAGCCUUUCGAGGUUUUCCUAUUUUCUCUAGAUCCGUUCUAGAUCUGUGUUUAUUUUAAGGUUUUCAAACGAUUCCUCUAAAUUUCAAAACUGUUCAUCUUCUCUGACUUAGAGUUUUCUUUAAUUUUACUUGUCCUACUGAGAUUCCUAUGUGUUUUUACUGUAUUUUCUCUACUGUGUUUUCAUCUACCAUGCUUUAUUCUACCAUUUAUUUAUGAGUUCUUUUACAGUAUUUUGUUCCCUUAUUAUGUUUUCCGAAAAUGCAAAAAGGUUUUAGUUCCUUUGGGUCUUUUGAACUUACUUCGUUAUUACUUUGCCUGAUUUGUCUGCUUUCGUCUUUACACUUGAUCAAUGGCGGAAACCCUAGAAUUUGGGGGUUUUCAGACCACUUGUGUGUGACUUGUUUGCUUCCCAUGUCUGAACUAAUUUGAUUUCAAAACCCUAUUUCCGAACUCAUCUUUGUUUCUCUAUGUGAUUCUGACUCUUUCUAAUCUUGGCAAGACCUUUUACCUGAUUUUUUGCAUGCCAUCUGAUGAUUCCCCUUACCUAAUAGUUCCCUACUCACUGAUUUGGUUGCAUGACACUUUUCUCUGUUCUGAUUCUAGCCUCGCAUGUUCAAAACUUAUGCACUCUUUAUAUGUAGAUUUUUCCUCUCAGAAUAACCUUUGAUUUGGGGAUUGAUUUCAGUCUGCCAUUGUGUGAACUUGAUUUAUUCCCUCCUUGUCUAAAUUGAACCUUCAUAUUUCAUUAUUUUCUGACUUGGUUCAUUAUUGAUUUCGAAUAUUCGAUUCCCUGAUUUAUUAUGUACUAGUUGAUUUACUUCUUGCCUUAUUUACUUAAACCGUGUGUUUUCAAACUUUCCCUUAUGUAUUUACCCCUUAUUUGCAUGCUGAGCAUGAUAUACUACUUGAUUCCCUUUCUUUAAAUAGCUUCUGCCUUUUUACCGUUCAAAUUUGAACUCCUUAAUUAAAGGAAUUCCCCUCUAUUGAUUGUUUCUGAUUGAUACUUGAUUAUUUUCUUUCCUUGCUUACCUGCCUGGCUUCAAAUAUAAAUACAUACUCUUCUCUUAACACAAGCACAAACUUCUGAAUUAAAAUAAACUACUACUACUCUCUCUACUACUACUCUUUCUACUACUGCUCUCUCUCUACUACUAAGCACCCUGCUCCUCUUCUCUUUGCUGCUGAAACAUUCUUGAGUUCUCAAGUGCUUGCUGAAGGUUUUGAGUCUGCUCCUGCUGACUUUCUGGAUGAUUACUUGCUUCUAUUUGUUCUGCUAUUCUAAAAUUUUCAACUGGUAUGUCUUCCUAGUUAAAUAACAUCACCUACAUUAUGUAUUUACUUCCCUCCUUCUGUUGUGCAUUCUCCAUUACAUACUCAUCCUAGUCUGUCAUGCUUUCUUUCAUUAUGUUCUGCACCUUUAAGGUUGUUACUCUUUCUUGCUUGGCUCAUAUUUUUGUAAACGCUUUCUUAUGUGAUUCCCUAUCCCUUUGACCCCCUUUUUGUGUGUGAGUGCAAUUCUGAGUCAUGGUGGCAUUCUAUUAUUGCCAACCAUGGCUUAGAACCAGGUUCUCUUGAGCCUCUAUUCAAAUCAAUUCCCAUUCCUUUCUCCCCCUUUAUGUGCUGAGCCAUGACUCAAGUCUGGUGGUGUCCUAAUCACCAUCCAGACCCAAGUCUAACUCUCUAAGAGUCUGCUCUUAUUUGUUUGAAUCUAAGCAAGGGGUCAGGGGUGUGCCAGUCUAUACCAUGGCUGGGUACGACCACUUCCUGCUGUGAUUCCUCCCUCACUUUGCACUUACUCCUAGUUCUUAAGUUCUUCCCCCCUUGGGUAAGCCAUGCUUUGGGACUCUGGAGCUCCCUCUGAACUUGGAUGCCUGAGGGCUGGCACUUCCACACUGCACUAUUCUGUUACUAAAUGGUUAUUCAGAGUGUAAGCAUUGCCUGGAGCUCUUGAGGCUCCUUGGAAGUUUGAAACACUUUGAGUAAGAGAAGGCCUUGGAAUCUGGGAUCCGGAUUUGGUGAAACACAUGUAUUGGAUAUUGAGAUUGAAUUAGGCUGCUCGGAUCUAGCUGUAGGCUGUAGUGUAUUUUUGUUUACUUUCCUUCUUCUGGUUCUGUAAUAAUCUUGUAAAAAAAUCUCAGAAAAAAUAUUAGUAAAGGGUAUGAGAGGGGUUUAUAUUUACUUGCAUAUUAUAAAGGGUAGAUACCAUGCCUAUAUGAUCAAUAUUGUUGUUUAAUAACUUAGAUAUCAUGUAUAUAGGUUAAACGUUUCAAUCACCUAGAGACCAUGUCUAUAGGCUUUUGCAUUCCUUUCAUUCAAUCAUCUAGAAAUCAUGUCUAUAAGAUUUAAUAUCGCAAAAUCAGUAGAAAUCCUGCCUAUAG
rnacentral:lncRNA from 1 species